UACGAAGGGGGCUAGCGUUGUUCGGAAUUACUGGGCGUAAAGCGUAUGCAGGCGGACUUUUAAGUCGGGGGUGAAAUCCCGAGGCUCAACCUCGGAACUGCCUUCGAUACUGGAAGUCUUGAGUCCGGGAGAGGUGAGUGGAACUCCGAGUGUAGAGGUGAAAUUCGUAGAUAUUCGGAAGAACACCAGUGGCGAAGGCGGCUCACUGGCCCGGUACUGACGCUGAGGAGCGAAAGCGUGGGGAGCGAACAGG
rnacentral:rRNA from 1 species